UCGCUUUUGGAUGGACCCGCGGCGUAUUAGCUAGUUGGUGAGGUAAUGGCUCACCAAGGCGAUGAUACGUAGCCGAACUGAGAGGUUGAUCGGCCACAUUGGGACUGAGACACGGCCCAAACUCCUACGGGAGGCAGCAGUAGGGAAUCUUCCACAAUGGACGCAAGUCUGAUGGAGCAACGCCGCGUGAGUGAAGAAGGCUUUCGGGUCGUAAAACUCUGUUGUUGGAGAAGAAUGGUCGGCAGAGUAACUGUUGUCGGCGUGACGGUAUCCAACCAGAAAGCCACGGCUAACUACGUGCCAGCAGCCGCGGUAAUACGUAGGUGGCAAGCGUUAUCCGGAUUUAUUGGGCGUAAAGCGAGCGCAGGCGGUUUUUUAAGUCUGAUGUGAAAGCCCUCGGCUUAACCGAGGAAGCGCAUCGGAAACUGGGAAACUUGAGUGCAGAAGAGGACAGUGGAACUCCAUGUGUAGCGGUGAAAUGCGUAGAUAU
rnacentral:rRNA from 1 species